GAUGAAGAACGUAGCGAAAUGCGAUAAGUAAUGCGAAUUGCAGAAUUCCAGUGAGUCAUCGAAUCUUUGAACGCACAUUGCGCCCCUUGGUAUUCCAUGGGGCAUGCCUGUUCGAGCGUCAUUUGUACCUUCAAGCUUUGCUUGGUGUUGGGUGUUUGUCUCGCCUUUGCGUGUAGACUCGCCUUAAAAUAAUUGGCAGCCGGCGUAUUGAUUUCGGAGCGCAGUACAUCUCGCGCUUUGCACUCAUAACGACAGCGUCCAAAAGUACAUUUUACACUCUUGACCUCGGAUCAGGUAGGGAUACCCGCUGAACUUAAGCAUAUCAAUAAGCGGAGGA
rnacentral:misc_RNA from 1 species